rnacentral:rRNA from 1 species
GUAACACGUGAAUCAUCUACCUCCGAGUGGGGAAUAACCUAGAGAAAUCUGGGCUAAUACCGCAUAACACUUACGAGUCAAAGCAGCAAUGCGCUUGGAGAGGAGUUCGCGGCAGAUUAGCUAGUUGGCGGGGUAAUGGCCCACCAAGGCGAUGAUCGGUAUCCGGCCUGAGAGGGCGCACGGACACACUGGAACUGAAACACGGACCAGACUCCUACGGGAGGCAGCAGUGGGGAAUUUUGCGCAAUGGGGGAAACCCUGACGCAGCAAACGCCGCGUGGAGGAUGAAAGUAUCUCGGUACGUAAACUCCUUUCGAUGGGGAAGAUAAUGACGGUACCCAUAGAAGAAGCCCCGGCUA